rnacentral:rRNA from 1 species
GACGAACGCUGGCGGCGUGCCUAAUACAUGCAAGUCGAACGCAGUGGGGACGGGUGAGUAACAAGUGGGUAACCUCCCAUCAGAGGGGAUAACACUUGGAAACAGGUGCUAAACCGAUACUGAUGGAUGGACCAGCGGUGCAUUAGCUAGUUGGUGAGGUAACGGCUCACCAAGGCCACGAUGCAUAGCCGGCCUGCGAGGGGGAUCAGCCACACGGGGACUGAGACACGGCCCAGAUGCCUACGGGGGGCAGCAGUAGGGAAUCUUCGGGAAUGGACGAAAGUCUGACCGAGCAACGCCGCGUGAGUGAAGAAGGUUUUCGGAUCGUAAAACUCUGUUGUUAGGAGAGCGGUAUCUAACCAGAAAGCCACGGCUAACUACGUGCCAGCCGCCGCGGUAAUUC